AAUGGGCGCAAGCCUGAUCCAGCAAUGCCGCGUGUGUGAAGAAGGCCUGCGGGUUGUAAAGCACUUUUGUUCGGGAAGAAAUCAUGCUGGUUAAUACCUGGUAUGGAUGACGGUACCGAAAGAAUAAGCACCGGCUAACUUCGUGCCAGCAGCCGCGGUAAUACGAAGGGUGCAAGCGUUAAUCGGAAUUACUGGGCGUAAAGGGUGCGUAGGCGGCCUUUUAAGUCGGAUGUGAAAUCCCCGGGCUCAACCUGGGAAUGGCAUUCGAUACUGGGAGGCUAGAGUUUGGGAGAGGGUGGUGGAAUUCCCGGUGUAGCGGUGAAAUGCGUAGAGAUCGGGAGGAACAUCAGUGGCGAAGGCGGCCACCUGGCCUAAAACUGACGCUGAGGCACGAAAGCGUGGGGAGCAAA
rnacentral:rRNA from 1 species